AUUGAACGCUGGCGGAAUGCUUUACACAUGCAAGUCGAACGGCAGCACGAGAGCUUGCUCUUGGUGGCGAGUGGCGAACGGGUGAGUAAUAUAUCGGAACGUAUCCAAUAAUGGGGGAUAACUAAUCGAAAGGUUAGCUAAUACCGCAUACGAUCUAAGGAUGAAAGCGGGGGAUCGCAAGACCUCGCGCGAUUGGAGCGGCCGAUAUCAGAUUAGGUAGUUGGUAGGGUAAAGGCCUACCAAGCCAACGAUCUGUAGCUGGUCUGAGAGGACGACCAGCCACACUGGAACUGAGACACGGUCCAGACUCCUACGGGAGGCAGCAGUGGGGAAUUUUGGACAAUGGGCGAAAGCCUGAUCCAGCCAUUCCGCGUGCAGGAUGAAGGCCCUCGGGUUGUAAACUGCUUUGUACAGAACGAAAAGGUCUCUAUUAAUACUAGGGGCUCAUGACGGUACUGUAAGAAUAAGCACCGGCUAACUACGUGCCAGCA
rnacentral:rRNA from 1 species